rnacentral:misc_RNA from 1 species
UUGGGACUUGGAUUUGGGCGCCAUUUUGAAAAAUGUAUGUAGGCCUGCAUUUGAAGGAAAAGAAGAGAAGAGAAGAGAAGAGAAGAGAAAAGGAGAAAAAGAGAAGAGAAGAGCUACUACAACUACUACUGAAGUUCGUUAGGAAUGAGGAUAAUGAGAAGAGAAAAUACAAAAUAACUAAUAAGAGAGAAAGUAAAGCAAAGGCAGCGAACUAACUAAAGUAAAGUAAGUAAGUACUAAGUAGAGAAGAGUGAAAACUGAAAAGAGACUCAACGGCAUUUCUGGUCCUUGUUGUUAUUGUCGUUGUCGCCGUUUUCGUGUUCCUCUGAUCUGAAGUUUGAAUUGAGUCUUUUCUAGAAACGAAGCACAAUCUCUUUCAUCCUUCCUAGCCUUAGUUUUAAAUUGAUCAGCAAGAAGAAACUGAAGAUGGGGUCCACAGAGCGUCUCUGUCUUCGCUGGAAUGACUUCGAGUCCAAUAUCAAACAUGGUUUUUCCGAGUUACGUGAAGAGGAAGAGUUUUUCGAUGUGACUUUGGCUUGUGGGUCCAAGCAGAUAAAGGCACAUAAAGUGAUACUAAGUGCUUGCUCCCCUUUCUUUCGAUCCAUCAUCAAGUCAGUACCUCAUCAGCAUCCUCUGCUCUAUCUGCGGGGCAUCAAGUUCAAUCAUCUGGAGUCACUGCUCUGUUUUAUGUACAAUGGAGAGGUCAAUGUCACACAGGAGGAGCUCAACAAUUUUCUGGCAGUUGCUGAAGAGCUCAAAAUCAAGGGACUCACCCAAAAUCAAUCAUCCCACUCUCCACCCUCCAUGAAUGAAGGGUCGCACCCACCUCCAAGUAAAAGACCUCGCAUUGUCAAUAAAGUGACGUCCUCUCCCGGGCCCAUUGUGUCAGGAGUACCUCCCUUGUCUUCGGUCCAAUCUUCUGUGGGAACGCCAGGAGGAGGAAGUAGUACGCCACGCCCCCGUGUUCCACCUCCUUCUCAACGUCCUCCUCCUCUUCCUCAGCCAUCUAAUGUCGUUGAGGAUGAUGAUGAAAUCGAAGAUAUCACGCCUGUUAAAGCAGAACCCAAAGACACAACUGGAAAUACCAUGGUUGUUACACCUGAUGUAAGUUUAGGUCCUGACGAUUUAGGAGAUGAUGCUUAUACACAUGAGGAUGAAAACUACGAAGAAUAUGCGCAAUAUGGAUCGGAAUCUGGAGAGAUGAGCUAUAAUGAAGGAGGGUCUUUAAUGGAUCCUGGUUUGGCUGCUGUUCCGGGACCCUCCGGGGCUCCCACAGCUGCCGACGGAAAUAAAGUUCAGAUCAACGUAAAUAAUCAGCAAAUUUACUCGGGCCCCUCAUGCACUUCUCCAGGAUCACCUAUUCUCACCUGUUUUAAGUUCAUCUCUGGGUAGAAACCGUAUGAAGAAACUAAUUAUCCAUCUUUAAAGUGGGAUUGAUAUGUCCAGGGAUGAAUUAUACAGCGAAUGAAGUUACUGGCAAUGAAAAGAGAAGAAAUGAAUUCUGUGAAUGAAAUGACCUAGCACCGUACUAUAUAUGUAUAUUUAUUAUUUUUCUAGUGGACAAGUAUAUUUUUGGGUUGUCCAACAAUUGCCUUAUAUUUAAUUGGUUUUGGUGUAUUAUUCCAAAAGGAUUUAAAAUUUUGGAUAUGAGGAGCUAUUCUGGAAAUAUCAAAAGAAAAAGUGAUACAUUUGCCUCUAAAUAUAUCAGGCUUUUUGAAAACGAACAGAAUGGAGAAACUUUUAAUCUCAAAACUCUUGUUAAUGAAAAGAGAUAAACAUUACUUAUCUCUUAAAGUUUAAAAAAAUAAAACUAUUAACUUGUAAUAGUAAAUUUAAAAUUUAACAACACGAUGAUUGGUCAUGAGUGAUGAAGGAUGAGAAAAUAAUAUUCAUUUAUGAAAAAAUGAAAUAUGUCAAUAUGGAUAAAUAACAAAGAAAAUGACACUAACUUUUCUUUUUAAGAAGCAAUCAUUCGAAUGUUAUGAAAUAGGACCAACGAUUCUAAUGUAAAUUUUUAUAAAAUCCUUAUUUGUUGCUGUAGUCAUCCUAAUAUACCCACAUUUUAUCACGUUAAUUCAAAUUGAACACCUCUUGGGCAUUAAUUUUAGUUUGAAAAACAACUGAGCCAUCUGGUUGCAGAGAAGUCGUAUGUGGGUCAUUAAACCACCACCACCACCAAAGUUUCACAUACCUUUACAGAGCUCUCUAAAUAUGAUAGCAAAAAUAGGUCAUAACAUUCAAAUGCCCACAGUUUUUUCACUCCUAAAUCUAUAUUAAUGAAGCAAAGUUUGUCCGUUUGUUUGUCUGUGAAAAAUUCAUUUUAAGAACGAUUAUUUGUAGCUAAAGCUCAGUGUGCUAUUUUAAAAAAGAAAAGAGGAGUACCUCAAAAAAAAAAAUGAAUGUGACCUGUAAUAAAGAAUCUAUAGAUUGCCUUUACUACUAUGUAGAUGGUAUUAAAAUAAUUUAUGUGUAUGUGUUAGUGUCUGAUGUACGUUCCCCUUAGAAAAACAAUGAUAUAAACGCAUUUAUUUAAAAAAACAGAGACAGAUAGGUACAGACUUUAGACAUGAAAUAAAAAAACAUUCUUCAGAAUUUUGAGAUACGUACGUAAAUCCAUGUUUAUUUCGUAUAAAAACAGAUUCAUGAGCUCGGGAGGACACGUCUGAUUUUUUUCAUGUUUUAAGAUCGAUUCUCCGUAUCUCAAAGUUUUUUCUAAUGUAUGGUUGUCUAUUCGAAAAUGGACCAAAAAAAAUUAAAAAUCAAAAAAGUGAAUGAUUGUACUAACAGAACGUAUAUUAAAUACGAAUUAAAAAAGGGAAUUAGGAAGAGAAUUAGGAGUUAGUCUUAGUGUGUAUCCUAAUUAUGAUUGAAGGGGGUCAUAGCAGCAAUUUAUCAUUGACAAUGACAAUAAAUAAAUCACAUUUUCAAACAUUUGAAAAAAAUGAUUUACAUUUACCAAAAAUCAGUAAUUUCAGAUGGCCCAUUAUAUGUUGCACUUUCAAGAGUGUCAAAAGGGGUGCAGUUUUGAUUAUAUUUACAUCAAAUGGACAGAAACAAAAAAAAUAAUGUAUACAAGGAGGAUUUACAGCCUAAAUUUACCUAUUAUAUAAUUAUAGUUUAUAGUAUAUCGUUUUAGUUUAGAAUUUUAAAAUAAACAAGGUAAUUUUAAAUAAAAUAUUUUUAAUUUUUAUUUGGCAAUUUUUAAGAUAGUGAGUUUGUCCUAGUCUAAUAUUAAUUCUAUUUGUUAAAUGCCUAAAAAAUUACAACUACCCCUGGGUUGCUAUUAUGGAGGCUAUGAAAUUUGGAGUUACCUUCCGAAUGACGAAAAAAUAUAUUUUCGAAUAUAACUGCCUUUAUACUACCUUAUGCAAUGUCAAACUACACUAAAUGACCUCGUUUCACUUUAAAAACGACAUUUGAUUCAUAGUAAUGCUCGUAACUCAAACUUAUUAAAUUAUUGAUUUAUUUAAAUAUUCAUAAAAUUAAUUUUACUACUUUUCGAAUUAGCAUAUUGUUAAAUGCUCAUUAUUUUCGAGAUAAGAUGUUUGAAAAUUACAGAAAAAUGAACAAUGACAAUUGGUCUCAAUCGCUAUGCUUAUUUGUCUCAGCUUCGAAUGGUGUACAAAUAGUUUGUCUAACAUCAGUUUCUUCGUGUAAAGACUAUGGGAUAUGUAUUUUGAUGUCCGAUUUAAAAAAAAUGUAUAUUUAAUUAUUUUUAAUAAUUACUUUUCAUUUUUAGCUUUACAUCUGACUUAUAAGACGAAUAAAGAGAUUCUACAAGCAAUUAGAAGUAUGAUAGGAAGAAGACGGAUUUUAUUUCUACCCAUAAUUAAUAUAUUUAUUUAUGUAUAAAAUGUCUCAUUUAAUUUUGUAUAUGGUUAACUUAUACUUGUAGCUAAUAAUUUGAUGAAUCCAUUUAUUUGAUUUAAUAUAAAUACAUUUUUUAUCGUGUUAUUGUUAA